rnacentral:ribozyme from 13 species
AUAAAUACAUUGAAAGAUACGUAUCUUACAAACAUGCUAAAAAAAAAAAAAAAAAAAACAUGCACACACACAUUCACCAUUCUUAUAUAUAUAUAAUAUCCUCUUUUUCUCCUUCUUCCUUCAUUCACCCCCACUACACAACAAUCAACCAACAGAAGUGUGCAAGUUCAUGAAAUUCUGGAAGUUUAUUAUCUGAUGUUG